CUACGGGGGGCAGCAGUGAGGAAUAUUGCACAAUGGGGGGAACCCUGAUGCAGCAACGCCGCGUGGAGGAUGACGCAUUUCGGUGUGUAAACUCCUUUUAUAUGUCAAGAAAAUGACGGUAGCAUAUGAAUAAGCACCGGCUAACUCCGUGCCAGCAGCCGCGGUAAUACGGAGGGUGCAAGCGUGACUCGGAAUCACUGGACGUAAAGGACGCGUAGGCGGGUUGGAAAGUCAGGUGUGAAAUCCUACAGCUUAACUGUAGAACUGCACUUGAAACUUCUAAUCUAGAGUAUGGGAGGGGGAGAUGGAAUUAGUGGUGUAGGGGUAAAAUCCGUAGAUAUCACUAGGAAUACCUAAAGCGAAGGCGAUCUCCUGGAACAUUACUGACGCUAAGGCGUGAAAGCGUGGGGAGCAAACAGGAUUAGAUACCCGGGUAGUC
rnacentral:rRNA from 1 species